AUUGAACGCUGGCGGCAGGCCUAACACAUGCAAGUCGAACGGUAACAGGAAGAAGCUUGCUUCUUUGCUGACGAGUGGCGGACGGGUGAGUAAUGUCUGGGAAACUGCCUGAUGGAGGGGGAUAACUACUGGAAACGGUAGCUAAUACCGCAUAACGUCGCAAGACCAAAAAGGGGGACCUUCGGGCCUCUUGCCAUCGGAUGUGCCCAGAUGGGAUUAGCUAGUAGGUGGGGUAACGGCUCACCUAGGCGACGAUCCCUAGCUGGUCUGAGAGGAUGACCAGCCACACUGGAACUGAGACACGGUCCAGACUCCUACGGGAGGCAGCAGUGGGGAAUAUUGCACAAUGGGCGCAAGCCUGAUGCAGCCAUGCCGCGUGUAUGAAGAAGGCCUUCGGGUUGUAAAGUACUUUCAGCGGGGAGGAAGGGAGUAAAGUUAAUACCUUUGCUCAUUGACGUACCCGCAGAA
rnacentral:rRNA from 1 species